AAUCAAAAUAAAUACAUGUGACAGAUGACUCAUUAAUAUUAACCUCCGAUUGUAAAAGUUUAAUUACUGACGGAAAAUGAAAAACUAGUAAAUUUAUAAUCUAUCCACGUAUCUAUAUAGCAGUGAUAGAUGGACAUCAUUAAUUUUGUAAUGUCAUCAGAUGAUGACUCGGACGAUGGAAAUGUUAAUAAUUAUGUCGAAAUCGAAGAACAAAGAAGAAUUCUUGUAUUUCGUGUACGUCAAAAUUACUUCGAAAUUUUUAAUGAAAAGCAAUUUGUGGAUCGUUUUCGAUUCUCGAAAAAUUCCACACAGUUAUUGUUAAAUCGACUUGCUGGACAUUUUGAAUUGUUUUCUGAAAGAAAUGAUGCAGUACGGCCCAUUACGCAACUCUUAAUCAUCCUACGUUUUCUUGCAACUGCGAGUUUUUAUAUAACAGUCGGAGACUUCAUUGGAAUUUCGAAAAGUACAGUUUGCAAAACAGUGCACAUCCUUUGUCGUACAAUAGCUUCGCUACGUAAUGAAUUUAUUCGUUUCCCAUCAACUGAAGAACAAAUAAUACAAAAUCAAGUAGAGUUUCAUCAAAUAGCUCGUUUUAUACGUGCUGUUGGUUGUAUCGACUGCAAAC